UCCCUGGUAGCUCAGCGGUAAAGAAUCUGCCUGCAGUGCAGGAGACCUGGGUUCAAUCCCCGGGUAGAGAA
rnacentral:tRNA from 1 species